rnacentral:lncRNA from 1 species
GGUGUGUUUAGUGUUGCUCAGUCUCUAAUUUUCUAAGUAGUUUUUGGUGUAUUAUUGUUUGUGGUGUUUUCUUUUCUAGUCAUGAAUUUGUAAAUUUAUUUUCGACUCAUGGGUUUGAGAGUCCCUUUGCCUUCAUUUCCUAUCAUUAUUUUCUUGAUAGAGGGUUGCUGCUCACAAGGAAGCUAUUAAACCAAGAGUUCCAAAUGGUGAAGUUGAAAUCAUCCCUUCGUUAAUUUUACGGACACCAUCACGAGUUGGUUGACCGUUAUGGAAUAACCGUUUCACAAAUGAUAUCGGAUAUGUUCCUAACGUCGUAACUGCAAUCCCCUUCCCUUUCAUGAAUGUGACCUACCGAAUUAGACUAUUUACCGGAUUUGUUAACAAAUAAGCAACACGACGAGUGCCACAUGUGAAGCAGGAUCUGCUUAUCCUUCCGGAGCACCUGAGAUCACCCCUAGUUUUUGGUGGGGUUCGUGUUGUUUAUUCUUUAGUUUUCUAUGUUGCGUCAUGUGUACUAUUGUUUGUCUGUUUGUCUUUUUCAUUUUUAGCCAUGGCGUUGUCAGUUUAUUUUCGAUUUAUGAGUUUGACUGUUCUUCUGGUAUCUUUCGUCCCUUUUUGGUAUCUUUCGCCUCUUUUCUACAAAUUCUAAUUUGUCUUCGUCUAAUUUUCUCAAUGCUUUCUUUGCUUUCUGAUCAUAUUUUCAAAAUGUAUCUACCUAAGAUAGUGUUGUAACUGUAUUUAACAGCCUCAGUUUAUGUAUGAGAAGUGUUUUGUCUCGACCUGUUCAAGGAAUAUCCUUUUAUUCGUU